rnacentral:rRNA from 1 species
AUUGAACGCUGGCGGCAGGCUUAACACAUGCAAGUCGAACGGGGACUUCGGUCCUAGCGGCGAACGGGUGAGGAAUGCUUGGGAAUCUGCCCAGUAGCGGGGGAUAACGUUUCGAAAGGAACGCUAAUACCGCAUACGCCCUACGGGGGAAAGGGGGGGAUCUUCGGACCUCUCACUAUUGGAUGAGCCCAAGUCGGAUUAGCUAGUUGGUGGGGUAAAGGCCUACCAAGGCGACGAUCCGUAGCUGGUCUGAGAGGAUGAUCAGCCACACUGGAACUGAGACACGGUCCAGACUCCUACGGGAGGCAGCAGUGGGGAAUAUUGGACAAUGGGCGAAAGCCUGAUCCAGCCAUGCCGCGUGUGCGAAGAAGGCCUUCGGGUUGUAAAGCACUUUAAGCGAGGAGGAAUGGCUCUUGGUUAAUAACCUUGAGCAGUGACGUUACUCGCAGAAUAAGCACCGGCUAACUCUGUGCCAGCCGCCGCAGUAAUAC